GCCUCCUACAGGUUAGCGGCGGAGGGUGAGUAACACGUAGGCACCUGCCCUCAGGACAGGGAUAACUACCGGAGACGGUGGCUAAUACCGGAAAAUUUAUUACAUAGCACUAUGUGAUAAUGAAAGACGGAGCAUCUCUCACUUGGGGAUGGGCCUGCGGCGCAGUAGCUACUUGGUGGGGUAACGGCCCACCAACGCCACGAUACGUAGCCAACCUGAGAGGGUGAACGGCCACACUGGGACUGAGACACGGCCCAAACACCUACGGGAGGCAGCAGUAUGGAAUCUUCCGCAAUGGGCGAAAGCCUGACAGAGCAACGCCUCGUGAGUGAUGAAGGUUUUCGGAUCGUAAAGCUCUGUUGCCAAGGAAGAACGUCUCAUAGAGUAACUGCUAUGAGAGUGACGGUCCUUGAGAAGAAAGCCCCGGCUAACUACGUGCCAGCAGCCGCGGUAAUACGUACGGGGCAAGCGUUGUCCGGAAUUAUUGGGCGUAAAGCGCGCGCAGGCGGUUCUUUAAGUCUGGUGUUUAAACCUGGGGCUCAACUUCAGGUCGCACUGGAAACUGGGGAACUUGAGUGCAGAACAGGAGAGUGGAAUUCCACGUGUAGCGGUGAAAUGCGUAGAUAUGUGGAGGAACCCCCGUGGCGAACGCCACUCUUUUGGACGUAACUGACCCUUAGGCGCGACAGCGUGGGGAGCAAACAGGAUUAGAUACCCUGGUAGUCCACGCCGUAAACGAUGAUUACUAGGUGUUAGGGGUUUCUAUACCCCUGGUGCCGAAGUUAACACCUUAAGCAUUCCGCCUGGGGAGUACGGUCGCAAGAAUGAAACUCAACGGAAUUGACGGGGACCCCCACCACCAGUGGAGUAUGUGGUUUAAUUCGUAGCAACGCGAAGAACCUCACCACGUCUUGACAUCCCUCUGAAUCUGCUACAAAAAGUAGCGGCCUUCUGGAGAGAGGAGACAGGUGGUGCUUGGUGGUCGUCAUCUCCUGUCGUGAGAUGUUGGGUUAAGUCCCGCAACAAGCGCAACCCCUGAUUUUAGUUGCCAGCAGGUAUGGCUGGGCACUUUAGAAUGACCGCCGGUGACAAACCGGAGGAAGGCGGGGAAGAAGUCAAAUUAUCCUGCCCCUUAUGACCUGGGCCACACACCUACUACCAAGGCUGGUAAAAAGGGAAGGGAAGCCGCGAGGUGGAGCCCAUCCUAUUAAAGCCAGUCUCAGUUCGGAUGCGGGCUGCAACUAGCCUGC
rnacentral:rRNA from 1 species